rnacentral:rRNA from 1 species
GUCUACAGCUGUACCAUCUGGAUCAUGCCUGCUCUCAUUUGAUCUCAGCAACUAAGCAGGGGCAGGCCUGGUUAGUACUUGAUGGGAGGAAGACA